rnacentral:rRNA from 1 species
GACGAACGCUGGCGGCGUGCUUAACACAUGCAAGUCGAACGGAAAGGCCCUGCUUUUGUGGGGUGCUCGAGUGGCGAACGGGUGAGUAACACGUGAGUAACCUGCCCUUGACUUUGGGAUAACUUCAGGAAACUGGGGCUAAUACCGGAUAGGAGCUCCUGCUGCAUGGUGGGGGUUGGAAAGUUUCGGCGGUUGGGGAUGGACUCGCGGCUUAUCAGCUUGUUGGUGGGGUAGUGGCUUACCAAGGCUUUGACGGGUAGCCGGCCUGAGAGGGUGACCGGAGACACGGGAACUGGGACAGGGUCAAGACGCCUACGGGAGGCAGCAGGAGGGAAUAUGCGGCAAUGGGCGAAAGCCGGACGGAGCAACGCAGCGUGAGGGAUGAAGGUCUUCGGAUCGUAAAGCUCUGUUAUUAGGGAAGAACAGAUGUGUAAGUAACUGGGGAGAGCUUGACGGUACCUAAUCAGAAAGGAACGGCUAACUACGUG